UAUUGCAUGUCAGAGUAAUUCUAUUGUGGUUUAAAUGCAGCUUAUUUACAUAUUUCUGACAGUUGUGGUUACUCUCCUCCUUGCAUUCUUGAGUCCCAAAUACAUAACUGGAAAUUGUGUCAGUCUACAAGGAUGCAGUUCCUCUGAUCUUCUGCAGAGGGGGCAAGGAAUCUGGGAACAAAAGAAUGGGAGAGCAGUGAUAGAAAGAUUUUACAGUGCAGAUUUAUUAUAUAAAUAGGGCAACGACAUGAGGAAACCAUGUAGGAGCUCACACUAUGAGGAAACAGACAAAUGUGGUUAUCAGGCUUUUUAAUUCAAAGUGCACACAGCUCCUCCGGGAUGUAAUGAGAGCACAGAUGUGCUCAUACACACACACACACACGUACACACAGAGUCUAUCUCACAGCUGGAUGACCAAGGGGCAGUCAGCACUGGGAAGGUCAGAUGACCAGGUCGAAGGUCAAGCCAUGGAGAACUGCAAUAGAGGGAAGGGGAGCACGACGGCAUCAAGCACACCAUGCACACACCCUCACGCACACGCACACAUUUAUUAAAGUCAUCAUCCAACACUGUUGUAACUCUUGAGCCUUUACUCCAGAUGGGCAAAGGAGGCAAAGAGUGUCUGUCUGUGUUUGCAUGUAAAAGCAAUUUGGUCUGAAUUAAAAGCUGGACACACACACACACACACACACACACACACACACACACACACACACACACACACACACACACAGUCAGAGUCCAGGUUGUGGUCAUUUGAUAAGAAGCCAGGCAGGACAACAUGGGUCAACAUCAAAGCAGCACUUGAGUAGAUCAGUUCCCUGUAUGUUUUCUUUCAUUCUUUUGAGGAAAUCCAGAAUAGCUGCUUCUUAAUAAUAUUCAGGAGAUGUCAGGUCACAGCAGGUGAAAUGAACCAAGUCUUAAUUGCCUUGAAGUGACCGGGCUAAUGCAUUACACAUUUGUGUGCUGGGAAGCACCAGCGAGGGGGUUCGAAGGAGGGGACCGGGUGAGCGAACGCAGGACCCCGAGUGGAUGACGGAAAGAGUGGGGGUGAGGAGGAGGAA